rnacentral:lncRNA from 1 species
UAAACACGCUGGAUUUUGGCGGGCUACAGGCUGUUUGCCCAACUCUCAAGCGCAUUCAGAGCAGCCUCAUCGCAUAGUAAUGGACUCGAGUAAAUAGUCCAGAUUUGAAACAAAAAAGCCAUUGUCAUACUCUUUGUACAUAUGCAGCACCGCCAAUAUAGGCCGACAUGAAGCCUGUUUUUCCAAUUGAUUUCUUGUGCUGAAUCUAGUUGAAAUAUGGAAACCGCACUUCCUAGUUUGUAUUUGCUUCCGAGGUGCAGUGAUGGAGUAAGCAGAUCUGUAUUUAUAUGAAUGAAUAACCGUCUUAUUGGGAUCGUAGAUGCUGCGUACUUCAUUGAUGACAUGGAGUACUAAGUUUGUGUGAAAUUAUACCAGAUUCUAUGGUUCUCUCAUGAGGUGGAGUUAUUCUGUAGUCUAUCAGUCUGUCUCAACUGUGACGAUGCAACUGAGAUGUUUCCACCUGAUGGUUGGUGAUGCUCUGAACUCUAGUUAAAAGAACCUGGUGAACUUGAUCCAAGAGCAUUUGUUGGUUUACUUGUCACCUUGAAAAUUUAGUAACUAAUGAAUGCUGCUCCUUUGGUAAAAAAGAGAGGCUUUCUUUAAG